rnacentral:rRNA from 1 species
AUUGCCCCAGUAACGGCGAGUGAAGCGGCAACAGCUCAAAUUUGAAAUCCGGCCCCCCCGCGGGGGCCCGAGUUGUAAUUUGCAGAGGAUGCUUUUGGCGAGGCGCCUUCCGAGUUCCCUGGAACGGGACGCCACAGAGGGUGAGAGCCCCGUCUGGUCGGACGCCGAGCCUGUGUAAAGCUCCUUCGACGAGUCGAGUAGUUUGGGAAUGCUGCUCAAAGCGGGAGGUAUAUGUCUUCUAAAGCUAAAUACCGGCCAGAGACCGAUAGCGCACAAGUAGAGUGAUCGAAAGAUGAAAAGCACCUUGAAAAGGGGGUUAAACAGUACGUGAAAUUGUUGAAAGGGAAGCGCUCGUGACCAGACUUGGGGCGGGAGGAUCAGCCGGCGUUCUCGCCGGCGCACUCCGCCCGCCCCAGGCCAGCAUCAGUUCGCGCCGGGGGACAAAGGCGGCGGGAACGUGGCUCCCCCGGGAGUGUUAUAGCCCGCCGCGUCAUGCCCCGGGGCGGACUGAGGUUCGCGCAUCCCGCAAGGAUGCUGGCGUAAUGGUCACCAGCGACCCGUCUUGAAACACGGGCCAAGGAGUCGUCCUCGUAUGCGAGUGUUCGGGUGUCAAACCCCUACGCGUAAUGAAAGUGAACGUGGGUGAGAGCUUCGGCGCAUCAUCGACCGAUCCUGAUGUCCUCGGAUGGAUUUGAGUAGGAGCAUACGGGGCCGGACCCGAAAGAAGGUGAACUAUGCCUGCGUAGGGUGAAGCCAGAGGAAACUCUGGUGGAGGCUCGCAGCGGUUCUGACGUGCAAAUCGAUCGUCAAACGUGGGCAUGGGGGCGAAAGACUAAU